rnacentral:rRNA from 1 species
AUUGAACGCUGGUGGCAUGCUUUACACAUGCAAGUCGAACGGUAACAGGGUGCUUGCACCGCUGACGAGUGGCGAACGGGUGAGUAAUGCGUCGGAACGUGCCGAGUAGUGGGGGAUAACGCAUCGAAAGGUGUGCUAAUACCGCAUACAUACUGAGGUAGAAAGUGGGGGACCUUCGGGCCUCACGCUAUUCGAGCGGCCGACGUCUGAUUAGCUAGUUGGUGAGGUAAAGGCUCACCAAGGCGACGAUCAGUAGCGGGUCUGAGAGGAUGAUCCGCCACACUGGGACUGAGACACGGCCCAGACUCCUACGGGAGGCAGCAGUGGGGAAUUUUGGACAAUGGGCGCAAGCCUGAUCCAGCCAUGCCGCGUGUCUGAAGAAGGCCUUCGGGUUGUAAAGGACUUUUGUCCGGGAGCAAAUACCCAGUGCUAAUAACGCUGGGGGCUGAGAGUACCGGAAGAAUAAGCACCGGCUAACUACGUGCCAGCAGCCGCGGUAAAAC